ensembl:lncRNA
CCCAAACAUAAUACACUUGGGCUUUCCCCUUAUCUUUCUGAGCCUUCCCUCCAGGAAGCCUGUCCUGGCUCCUCUACCUCUCUUUCAACUCAGAAAAAGUUGAGAUUUCCAAGGCAGAGUUCCUGAACUCUCACCCUUCUGAAAUUAAUCCUAGGUGGCCUAACUUGUAUCUGUGUAUCCCAGCAGUGUCCCUGUGCUAGGGACUCCAGUCCUGUCAUCUGAGUCUGCAUAUCUUCCAGCUCUAGACAUCAACAUUCGACUGUAUAAACCAUCUUAAACUUACUUAUGACAGACAUGUGAACAUUCCUCUCCAACAUGUUCUUUAAGAGAUCUCUUCUCAGCGGGAAGCCACUGAGCUGCCAACCUUGAAAGCUGAAGGAGAUUCUGACAGGGCAUCAGCAGCAUCCUUGUGAGUGGGGUGAGGUUCUGAUCUGUGAGAGGCAGCCCAAACUUCACCACAGCUAUCAGUUUCUCCGUUGCUUGUCUCCUCUGUCUACAACACAUGAGUGUUUUCUCUGAGUCGGUAGACAACGUGCUCAUUCAACCAGGAGUCCUAGCAAGUAAGUGCUUUGGUGAUUCUAGAACCUGUUCAUAGUGACAAGGAGCCCGAAAGUUUAAGAAAAAAAAUACCUUCCACACACGUUCUGAAACUCGGGGGAGGCAAGUGAUUGACAGGUCCCAGAAGUUUGGGAAAGCAACAGCUUUUAAACAAGCUCACCAGGAAAAUAGCAAGGUGGGAAGAAAGGCCAGGUUCUUCUCUCUCUGGACUAUGAGCAGAAAGCUGAAUCUUUCUGGGAAGGGGACACAGCCACUCCAUGAAGGGGAGGGGUGCUCUCUGACCACGAACCCCAGUUCCACCAGCCAUUGCCCAUCACCCAGAGGUGCAACAGGAAUGUUGAGGGAGAACCAAGCUCCCCUGGCUGCUAUUGGUCCAUGAAAGUAGGAGAGUGGGUGCCAGGGCUCCACAGACAGCUUUAGGUAGAUGGUGAGUCCACCAACCUAUAAAACAAGUAUUCGCCAAGACUGAG